AGUUCGGAUUGCAGGCUGCAACUCGCCUGCAUGAAGUCGGAAUUGCUAGUAAUCGCGGAUCAGCAUGCCGCGGUGAAUACGUUCCCGGGCCUUGUACACACCGCCCGUCACACCAUGGGAGCCGGUAAUACCCGAAGUCAGUAGUCCAACCUCGUGAGGACGCUGCCGAAGGUAGGAUUGGCGACUGGGGUGAAGUCGUAACAAGGUACC
rnacentral:rRNA from 1 species